UAGCGAAGCGUGCACGCCUCCAUUC
rnacentral:piRNA from 1 species